rnacentral:lncRNA from 1 species
UGUGGAUUGAACAAUGAAAAAUUUGAUCAAAUUUGGAGCUGAAUCUGGUUUAUCGGAGUUUAUUCUAUCUUUUUAUAUAAAUAUAAAAAUUUAUAAAGUACAAAAAUUUGUUCAAAAUUUUAAGAACAUUAUUAGCUGAUGAGUUAGUCUUAUUGACUUCUCAAAUUUGAAGAUAUGGAGGUCAAAAUAGAGUUCAUCUC